UUCUUUUUAGAAUACCGGUAAAAAGAAAGAAUGUAGAUUGGAUUGGCAUCAAACAGGGACAUUUGUCGUGGUUUCAGUUUUUGCUAAAAAGUAUCUGCCAGAUUCAUCCACGGUUAAGUUGAAUCCUAUACGUUUAUCCGUGGACUUAUCUUUUGCGGAGGAUAAUUCAAGAUAUUCUCGCGAUUUAGAAUUAAGAGGAAUUGUUGAUAUUGCACAAAGUAGUGUUAGUAUGCUUCCUACUAAAGUAGAAAUCAAAUUGAGGAAGUCGGAAUGUGGUUCAUGGCCAAAAUUAUAUUUCCCUAGAGUAGAUAAGACAGAAACUGAAGAAAAUGUUAAUAAUGAUGAAACCAUUAAUGCACAAAUGGAAACUGUUGAUCUCAGUGAUCUUUAAGCAUAUACAUACAUAUGUAUAAUUCAUUAAGAGUACCAUUAUGACAUAUGUGCUAUGUUAUAUUUAAGAACGAUAUUUUAAUUUUAAGAUGUAAAGCAAUAUUAUUUUCUUAAUGUUGUCGGAAUUAUGUUUCCAGAAAAAAAACUGGGUAUUCGUAGUAUUCACUUUAUUUUCGUAAGAAAAGAUAUUCAGAAAAGUCUUAUCACUAAACAUUCAUAUUUAAUGUGUUAUAUCUUAUUUAUAAUUUCCCCAAAGUCAAUAAAUCACUUACGAUUUAA